rnacentral:rRNA from 1 species
UAGCAUGAAGUCAGACAAGUGAACCCGCAGAAUUUAAGCAUAUAAGUAA